GACGAGGGGUCCUAGCGUUGUUCGGAAUCACUGGGCGUAAAGCGUAUGUAGGCGGGCUUUUAAGUCAGGUGUGAAAUCCCAUGGCUCAACCAUGGAAUUGCAUUUGAAACUGGAAGUCUUGAGUGUGGGAGAGAUUGGUAGAAUACCUGGUGUAGUGGUGAAAUACGUAGAUAUCAGGUGGAAUACCGGUGGCGAAGGCGGCA
rnacentral:rRNA from 1 species